CAGCCAUUCAAUCGUGGUUGUUCACUCCAUACUGACAGAUAGACGCUAACCUAUGUUUUGGUGUUGUAAAACUACAUUUAACAUUUCAUCUAAACAAGCAAAGUGAAGGAGCCACUUUAUCUCUGAAACAGUUCAGGAUCAACUUAUCACAAAGCUUGAUGUCCAGUGACAAGACUAGAAAUGGAAGCGGGAGAAAGAAGAAAAAUACCAUGUCCAGUUUCAAGAAAAAUAUUUCCACAGAAAUCAGAAGCAGUGGAAAUGUGCACCUACCUAUACAUAUGAGUAAGAGAAGAUGCGCCAACUGCAGCACAAAGGAGAAUCCUCAUCGUUCUUUUUGGGGUUGUAAAGCGUGUGAUGUUGCGUUGUGUUUGACUCAAGAAAGAAACUGCUUUCUGAAAUACCAUUCUGCCUAGUACAAGAAAAAAGUUUGAAUCAUGCAACAAUGCAUCCAAAUGUACAUAUUUUUCAAUAAAUUGAUGUUUUUAUUCUA